rnacentral:lncRNA from 1 species
AAUAAGCUAAAAAAGGAUACUGAAUUAACUUAACGUAACUUGCUUCUAAAGUAGAAUUCGAGUCACUAAUUUCCUUAUAAUUCCAGAACAUGGUAGGGGGCGGAGAAGAAGGCAGAAAUGAAAUGCAACGAACUCACAUGAAAUUGAGAAGUGAUUGAUGAUUAGGAAGAUAAUCGCAAAUGGAAUUGUGUAUUGAGAUCAGAGAAGUGCAAGAAGUAUACUAUCUAUAUAUAUAUAUAGAAAAAGAGGUGAAAAGAGGUACGAGCGAAGAAAGUGAACCUUUGGAAUUCGAAGGGGCCGCUGGUAAACCAGAGGCAGAGGUAGCAAGAAGAGCAAAAGUAAUCCUUCUGCAGUCCAAGUAUCUCUGCUUCAGCAUUACUUCAGCUCUGUCUGUGUAUGAAACUAUAGCCUUCCGGCAAC